GCCGAUCGCAGUGGUGCAUGCCUACAGUCCUAGCUACUCAGGAGGCUGAGGCUGGAGGAUUGCUUGAGCCCAGGAGUUCUGUGCUAUCGUGUGCUAUGCCCAUCGGGUGUCCGCACUAAGUUUGGCAUCAAUAUGGUGACCUCCCGGGAGCAGGGGAACCACCAGGUUGCUUAAGGAUGGGUGAACCGGCCCAGGUCGGAAACAGAGCAGGUCAAAACUCCCAUGCUGAUCAGUAGUGGGAUCGCACCUGUGAAUAGCCACUGCACUCCAGCCUGAGCAACAGAGUGAGACCCCAUCUCU
rnacentral:SRP_RNA from 1 species